GGGGGCGACAUGGUUUCGACGGUGGUGAUUGAAGUGUGAGCAGCGUGCCGAGGACUCCGGUGGCCUCGUAAAAAACCGGUACAAGUUAACUGCGAACAAUAACUUCGCCCUUGCUGCCUAAUUAAAAGACAGCACGUUCCUCCUGCGACUGCCUGCUAGCAGACAGGAACGCCGACAGCGGGCCUCAAUCCGGGAACGGACAGCGCACCGGGGAGAGUAUACAGUUGUCUAGCGACGCCGGGAAGCGAGUCUGACGCGUUCCGGAAGGGCGAAUCCCCAAAAGAAAGACUACGCACGUAGAUACUGACAUGGAAGCGCUAUCGGACGCGGGUUCGAUUCCCGCCGCCUCCACCA
rnacentral:tmRNA from 1 species